UCUCCCAAGAUUUCCCCAUGAAAGUGUAGAAAAAGAAGCUCCCGGAUUUCGACGUCCAACUUGAGAGUGUCAACUGAAGUGAUUCCAUAGAAUAAUCUGAUACUGGAAACUCCGAUUGUUUUUUUAUUCAUACUAGAAGAAUCUGAAUCCUGUGAAUCUGAAUGCUGAGAUGGCGAGCUAAACCCAGAUCGUGGAUGCGGUGUGGCCUACCGUAUGAUCCAGACCGAACCUGAUUCGCUUAUCAAGAAGACAUCAGACCCCAGUCCUGCCUGUCAGGUAGACAGGUAGUAAGGUAGUCUAGAGAUACAGUACACAUAAAGACCCGGACCACAACGGAGCAGGUGGAACCUUCAAGCACACACUAUUCAUGGACUGAACGGACUAUAUCCUGGGAACUGUACAUAUACACACACUGAAAGGACUGAGUUCUUUUACAAGACUCCUACAACUUCCAAACAAUGUACUAUUCUUUUUUAUUUUACACUGUUUUAUAUUAUGGUUGUUGCAUGACCGAUUGUGAAGCAAUAAACUGGUCAUUUGUUCAACUUGUU